rnacentral:rRNA from 1 species
UGGACAAUGGGCGCAAGCCUGAUCCAGCCAUACCGCGUGGGUGAAGAAGGCCUUCGGGUUGUAAAGCCCAUUUGUUGGGAAAGAAAUCCUAUCGGUUAAUAACCGGUGGGGAUGACAUACCC